CAGCCAUUUGGACCAUGAGGGAACUUUAGAAAUGGAAGGCACACUCUGAAGAUGACAAACAGAAAGAUCGAGAAAGGCUGGGUUCCUCAAUCACGUUGGAGUGCUUUACCAGCACUUCUUUUAGUUGUACAGGAAAGAAAACACUGAAUUGUGAUGGCUGGAACCGAUGAGAGAAGUCACACUCAUCAGAAAAUGUGCAUGCAGCACCUUCCCGGGUGGCAGCCUUAUGUGGUGGCACUGAUGAAUCUUUGGGGACAGGCAACCUGGGAUAGGUUUCCAGGUCCACUUUGCUAUUGAGGCUACUUGCAAGUUACCUAAAUUCUCUGAGCCUCAAUUUCCUUAAUUAUAAAUGGAAAGAAUAACAUGUGAAGUCUUGUCAUGAAGAUUCUACGAGGUAAUAAUAAAACCUAAUGUUUACUGAGUA